GGACUGCAGCCGCCCAGGCGGGGGGCGGGGAAUGAGUCGCCGGGGGCUUGAGGGGAGUGGUCAAUGUUAAGUGGCUGGCCCCUAGCAGGUGCCUGGAGGAGAGCCUAGUGCAGGAAGUAGCCCCCUGGGGGGAGAAGCCGGUGGGCCGGGAAAGGACAAAUGGAAAACGGAAUUAGGGGCCAGGCUCUGAGGCACGGUGAUGGGGAGACACAGAAGGAGGGGCAGUCCGGUUGGGGGAAGAAAUUGGGGCUGGAGAGUGGGAGAGGUUGAAGUGAGUUAUGGAUCACAGGAAUAGGGGCUGUGUAUUUGCGUGAGGGUAUGGGGGGGUGGUUCUGUGGAGUGGAGGGCGGGGAGAUGCAGCAGGGUCAGGAAGAGACUGUGGGGUGGGAAGAAAGCCUGCUGAGUGGAAAGGGGAAAAGGGAAAUUUGAGAUCAAGCCAUCCCAGACCAGAGCCAUCUUCCUUGUCCAGCUCUGAACUCCCUCUCUCUGCCUCAUUGCUUUAACCCCGGGUCAGAGCAUGCUGUUCCCUUUGCUCAUGAUUGUUCCUUUCCUGGUGCAGCGGAGUUCACACUAGCCAGUGUUCUGGUAGAUGGAAAGGUUGCCCCACCUCUCCUGGGCUUCUCUUAUCUUAGCCGGGUCCCCCCCUUCUUCACGUUUUGUCCUUCCUAGGUAGUUGGAGUCUAGCUCCUAGGUAAUGCCAGCCAUAGCUGAGGGCCAGGGGAGCAGGUGGCUGUGCAGAGCCACUUCCAGCCUGUGGACAAAGGGCUGAGACACGGAAAAUCUACCAGUGCCCAUUCCGGUUUAGGCCUGGCUGGGGCAGCCUUGGGUCAAGUCCUCUCUGUAGUCCCGGUUUCUACCAACAUCAGGAAGGGGAGCCGCAAGAACCAUCUAGGCAGGCGCCCGGGGACUGUGUCAGGAUGGAGAGUUCAAUCCCCACCCCCGAAGACGGGACUUAGCAACGCCCUUCCGAAGAACAGAGAAAGGGAAAAGUACAACUUUCAACGAAGAUCAACCUGGCAAACAUGGCCUUAACCAGCGCUGAAGGUUAACAUCAGGGACAGGGUGUCACCAGGACAUUGUGGAUAGCACAUACCCCUCAUAUAACGUAGGAGGGCCGUUUCACCUCUGUAGCAUACUUUCUGAAAGCCCAUAACCCCGGAGUGGGGGAGAGUCUGUAGGAUACUUGACCAAUACAUUGCACGACUGUCAAAAUCAUGGAAAACAAGGACCAAAAGCUAUGACCUGAGGUAACUGGGGAGACAUGCCCACUGAGUGCAAUGUGAUAUGCGGACCAGGUCCUGGAACAGAAAGAGGACAUAAAUGGAAAAGCUGGUGACAUCUAAAUCAAGCAUGGAGUAGGUUAACAGUCAUGUGCCAAUGUCAGCGUCUUCAUUUUGACAAAGGAAGACCUGGGUUUAAGCCCUGCCUCCAUCAAUCUCAAGAUGCGGGACCUCAGGGAAGGGAGGAGAGGUACCACCAAGGAUAUGCAUGGAAGCCGCCAUCACCUGAGUUCCUCAUCUGUAAGCCAGAAGCCAAGCCAGCCUGGGAAAGAAGCGUCUCUCAGCCAGCAUCCCUGACAAGGACACACGCCUGCUCCGUGGGGAAGUCUUAGGUACUAUAUGUUUGGCCUUCACCACAAAAGCCCUGCGGCCCAGAGCCAUGGCGUUCCAACCAUUUAGACCACGAACCACAGUUACAAAAACAGUUUACGUGAGGACCCAGUGUGCGCACACCCACACACUUCCCUGUCCUGGGCUCACACGGUGAGUCUCCUGAAAUACAAUCUGGCCUUACUAUGUGUGAUGGGCUUGGGUAUUUUUCUACUCUACUUUGUUUUCUUUAAUGCUGGUAGUGACUCACUCAAUUGGUUCUGUGCCCUAGAGAAUGGAAAAUGUGGCUUUAGAGUAGCCGAUCCACUACCCAAGCUUGGAAAACCAGGCGAAGACCAAGCAAAGUUCAACUCGCAGAUGUCACAGAACAGAGAAGGAUGAUAAUAAGAACACUGGCUGUCGGUAUGAGGGUUCAGAGAGAUCUUUAAAAACUAGUAGGUGCAGUGCUUUGGAGCACAAAGCUGUAGACCUAAAUGAGAGUUGGGGCCAUGCCGUCAUCUGUGGGGUGGCUGGGGCACCCCUCUCAGGCUGUGCCAUCUACAGGACAGAGGGAACAGCACCCUCCUGGGAUGCUGGCAGGCGUCAAUAAUUACAACAGAGGCAGCGAGCACACAGUGGUAAUCACUAAAUAGUGGUUUAAACUUUGAAGUUGAGUACAUCCUGCACUUGGGGUAAAAAAAAAAAAACAAAAAACCUCGCAUACAUACAGGACGAAACAACAGAGCUUAAUAGUGGUUCUGUGAAAAAGCCCCAGUGGGUUUGACUCAAAGCUAAACGCGAGACAAGAGAAUCUAGAUGUGGCUGCCAAAACUCUACUGCAAUUUUGGGAUUGCAUUCCCAGAAAGUUCAAUCAUGGAGGAAUAAAAAAAUCGUCCUAGUGUGUUCUGCACAUUUGGGUCACAUCUGGAGUGUCAGGUUUCGUUCUGAGGGAUAUUUUGAAAGGGGCAUUUUCAAUUGGAGCUUGUUCAGAGGACAGCAGCAAUGGUCUGCCAGGACUAGUGAGACCCACCAGGGCAUUCAUCCCAUCCCUGGUUCAAAGACUUCGUGAAGGGUGGAGAUGUCAAGAAGGCAGACUCUGAGGUGCCUGGCUGGCCCAGCAGAUAGUGGGUGUGACUUCUGAUCUCGGGGUUGUGAGUCUGAGCCCCAUGUUGGAUGCAGAGUCUGCUUUAAAAAGGCAGACUGCAGACUAACAGAAGGGAGAACUUUGAAAAAAUGUCAUCAGGUUGCCUUUUGAGGUCAUGUUCUCCCUUUUCUGGUAUCGUUUAGACAGAGGCAGGAUGUAUGUCUCUGCUGGAGAUGGGAGGUCUAGAUAGGGUGGGAAGCAGAGUUAGAUGAUCUUUAAGAUUAUUUUUUAAUUCUCAGACCAUGUUGCUGUUAAAAGCACAAGCUGAGUUAGUUGCGGCCAAGUCUGGGAAGGGAAGCCAGGGGCUCUCCCAGGAGGCGCCCCUGGACUCAGGUUCCCUUAGCUAAAAUGGGGGACUGACCCUCCCGCUAAGGAUACGGGCACAGAGCAGGGUGCCAUGAAAUGAAAACAGGCCUCGUGGUUCUUACUCAACUCCCUUUCCCAUCUUCCUCUCUCCCCCUAUAGGCGUCCUUACCCUGGAUUCAAAACAGUUUGGAGAUGGGGCUGGGAUCAGAGCAAUUCUUCAGUUAGGAAGUUACAGCAUAAUUUACUGAAGCAAGCAGACAGAACUGCUGGGGCUGACAUUGUACCUUUUCAGUUUGGUUUCAUUUUCCUCCCCAGCCGGCUCCUGAAAUAACCCUCUAGCUCUCAAACCAAUGUUUGUAAGUAUCUCUCCGAGUGUCCCUCUGAGCUUUGCGGCCCCUGGGCUGUGGCUUGGGCAACCAAAGCAGAAACGGAUCUCCCUGUCAUUGCAGAAUUAUAUCCGGGGAUUAACCAUGAAAGGGAAAAAAGCAGCAUUUCCAGUUGGGUGUUUGAAAAUGAAAAGUGGUUCAGGAGGAGCGUAGAUACGUAACUGCAAGACUGUGAUCAAAGGCACUUUGAACCUCAUUAAUUUGGAACUUUGUAUUUAAACGUGUAAUUUGGACAUAAAUUGUGCUUAAAUUUGUCUUCGUACUAUUCACAGUGAGGCUAACUAGUGUAUGAAAACUGCAAAGGGACCCCUGGGCAUCAUCACGCAAUUGUUUUAUGCCUCUUCUACCAUUUUAACCGUUACCAUAUUUGCUUUUACCAGUUUACAUCCGGUCCCUGAAACCUACAUUUAGCAACACGGUUUGCACCUGGAUUUUGGAAAUCAGCAGUACCCCCCAACGGAGCAUCAGCUAACAGGCUGGGAACUCUUUGUCAACAAGUUCUUAAACGGCCCACAAUUAGGCUAAGAGCUUGCAUGAUUCUUGCUGGUGCUCAAAGACCCAAGUAAAAACAUUAAACGGCGGUUUCUGCCCACUCCGCAAUCUAAGGCGAGAAGUCAUCCGUCCUAGGGGGUGCUCUCGUGUCCUGACACCAUUUCUCCAUUGGUGCAUCGGGAACCAGGUUGGGUUCUAUGCCCAGGAGUGCCCAUGUGGUUGGCGCCAUCUGCAUUUCAAGCAUUUCCUUGCCUCUCUCUGCACUCGGAAGGGCCCUAAUCGCUGGGGGGAACCCGGAGUCAGAGUGCAGAAGGGUCCCCCCAACACACCGCAAGGACUACGAGCGUCCGCCACCUCCUCGGGGCGGACCCAGGCUACGUCCACCGGCCGGGCAGCACUGAGGCGGGUCGGCAACCGGGCGGAGGGGAUGCCAGGCCUGCCCGGUUGCCCGCACCUCUCGCCGGCCCCCGGAAGCGCCACCCUCCCGCCCAGCGGGCUCCGAGGGGGCGGGGAGUCGAACGCCCCCUUCCGGGUGCCUCCGCCCGGCUGGCCAGCCCCGCUCCUCCUCCGGGCGGGAAUCCUCCCUCCCCCGCCCCUCCCGGAGCCGGGCCCCGGCGCCAGGCCCGGCCCCAGGGGGGAACCCCCAGCCCCGGCUCCCCGUCCCUGCGGCCUCUGCCCGUCUUCCCGACCCUUGGGGGCCGGGAAGACCCCGCCGGCAGCGGCCAGGACCCACCGCUCAUUACGACAUCUUCCUCCCUGGCCUCCGCCGCCUCCGCCGCCACCGAGAGCCUGACACCGCCCGCCCAGCACCCGCCAAUCCCGGAGCCCGCCACCGCCCGAGCGACGGCAGCCUUCGCCAAUAAGAAUUCAGUACAUUGGGGACCGACAGCACCAAUAACCAAUCAAAGAGGGGCGUCUAGAGCGACGUUGGUUUAGCCAAUCGACCCGUGAAAUGUCACUGAUGGACGGUAGAAGGCACUAACCGGAAACCUACUGAAAAGUGAACGACAUGUUCGCCAGCCAAUUGGCGGGAGGCAAAGUCCCGCCCACCAGGUGGUUGAUGGACAGCAACAGGAAGCUAGAUGAGGAGGGGCUUAGCCGAGGAGUGGUUUUGUAUUGGUCGUGGUUGACCUUCCACCCACCUCGAACCCAAAAGAUGAGUGAUAGAUCUCCCCUAAAGCCAAUCAGAAGUCCUUAGGGUGAGGCCCAGAAAUGCCCUAUAAAUAGUACAUACGCUAUAGCUCAGUUCAGUGUCCCCCUUGGUAUGGCAGGGGCCUGCUGCGCUUCGGCCGCUCAAGCCCCGUACCUGGUGAGUGGAAAGCCACCAGUCCUUUAUUUAGUCCCUCGCCUUUCAGCGCCUCGGCGGAGGGAACUGAACCCCAGGCGACGUUGUGCGGACCGGCAUCGGAGUCCAGUAAUAGCCGGAGUUGGUGCUACGUGACACUUCUGAGACGAGGGAUUAUUUCGCCGUCCCGGUUAUCCUCACCUGAUCCUGCAGCGACCCGUCCCCCACAACGGGCUGUCCCCCCAAAUCUCCUAAAGCUUUUAGAAGGGAGAUCCCCGGGGCUGCCUCUGACCAUCCGAUUCUGUGCGCCUGGGGCAGGAAUCUGCGCUGGGACCAGCGCCUCGGGUGGACUGAAUUGGUCCCAUUCCACUUUAACGCCCUUGAA